rnacentral:rRNA from 1 species
UACAGAGGGUGCAAGCGUUAAUCGGAAUCACUGGGCUUAAAGCGUUCGUAGGCGGGUUUGUAGGCGCGUUGUGAAAGCCCUCGGCUCAACCGGGGAACUGCUUCGCGAACCACAAAUCUUGAGUCAAGUAGGGGCGAUCGGAACGAUAGGUGGAGCGGUGAAAUGCGUAGAUAUCUAUCGGAACGCCGAAGGUGAAGACAGGUCGCUGGGCUUGUACUGACGCUGAGGCACGAAAGCCAGGGGAGCGAACGGG